UUCCUCUGCCGCAGCUGCGUGGUAGGACUGCGGGACCCUCGGCUACGACGGCUGAAUAAGCCUUUCAAAAGCUUCUGGCAACUGCGUACUGGGACACAGGCAGAUAGAGACACAUAGGCGAGAAGUGGAGGCUGCGGGUUCCCCCGGACCCAUCCGCCAGUGGAUCCCGCCCCGAGACCCACAAAGCCCCCGGAUGCCCCCACCACGGCCCCGGCUCCGAACAGCAGCGGCCCGUGAUUAGAGCUCCAAGUGACGGCGAGCGCGCUCGGGCAACCCAAACGACCCGCUAAAAGAGACAGGCUCCCAAACCGAACCUUGUUCUUCAACCACUCCGAUCUCACAGACGGAAGGGCAGAGUCGAGGAGAGCCUUCAACGCGGAAAGGCGAAAGAGGACAACUGUGGGAUUAUGCAUGAAAGGAGAACCAAGCUGGAGGGCAUGAUGGGAACUGCAGUCAUGACAUUGGAAUUUCCCAUGAGCCAUUUUGUUCCCCAAAGCAUGCUGGGAGCUGCAGUCCUGCUACAGACAGCAUGCCAACAGCACUGGCAGGGACUGGCACGGCACAGUGAGCUCUGGAAACACUGAAAGCCCCUGCCAUUAUCUUCUGUGACUGCAGGAGUGUGGCUAGAGCUCUUGACAGUGAAGACUGAGGUAAAGACCCAGGUACAAGUUAAUCUGUGUACACUGCGAAGGCAGAGGAAGAAGGUCUUCGGAAGAUGUUCAGUGAUACUAAUCCAGGAAAAGUUGGGCUGAGAUGAAGUACACAGUUGAUUCAGCAGGGUGUCUUUGGACAGAUGCAGUCAUACAGACAGGGUAGCACCUCUCUCUUUAGAAAUAGUUGCAGUCAUCUUCCUUGCGUAAGUAACGCAUCAUUAGAAAAAAGAAAACCUCUCUUGAAUUAACAAGGAAGGAAUAAACUUGCCUACAAAGAGGGGUAGAGGGAGUAUGGAUUAUCUGAAGAAUGUCACUGGCCUGAUCCAAAGCCUAUUUGUGAGGUUUUCCUACUGGCUCUGGCUGUUUUUUUUCCAAAGCAUUUACAUUACUUGCAAACAUGGGAAGUAUGACUGGGUGUUUUACUCUGCUAGUUUGAAGCUAGCUAGAAUGUUUUAGUGAGAAGGAUUAGAUCAUCACAGGCUGUGAAAGAGGAACAGUGGCGAUGUCUACUUCACUUAUAGGCUUGCUGAGAGGUAUAAGAGCAAGAAUCCAAACAUAGAUAGGGGAGUUGCUCUUCGUCCAGUCUCUGGGCUGCAUUUCUCUCUAACCUCACCCUCUGUCUCUCUGAUUAAUCCACUUGCUUCCUACCCACCCUGGCCGACCCUCCAUUCUUCCUUGGGGCACGAGGCAAUGUCUGGGGUAAGGUAGGGGAGUGGGAGAAGAUGGAAGGGUGUUUUUGAGCCCCUCCUGCGGACUCAGGUUUCUGGGAGGGGAGUUGUGUUUCUAUAUUGUCUUUUACCUUGUAUAUUUCUGUCUAUAACUGUGUAUACUGUGAAUAUCUGCUUGUAUAUUCUGCUAAGCUGUAAAUAUAAGCUUCAUUCAAAUUUC